UACGUAGGAGGCAAGCGUUGUCCGGAAUUACUGGGCGUAAAGCGCGUGUAGGCGGUCUGAAUAGUCUGCUGUGAAAGCGCCUGGCUUAACCGGGCGAGGUCGGCGGAAACUCUCAGACUGGAGGCCGGUAGAGGGGGGUGGAAUUCCCGGUGUAGUGGUGAAAUGCGUAGAGAUCGGGAGGAACACCUGUGGCGAAGGCGACUCUUUGGCCUGUAACUGACGCUGAGGCGCGAAAGCGUGGGGAGCAAACAGG
rnacentral:rRNA from 1 species